rnacentral:rRNA from 1 species
GGGGAAUAUUGCACAAUGGGGGAAACCCUGAUGCAGCGACGCCGCGUGAGUGAAGAAGUAUUUCGGUAUGUAAAGCUCUAUCAGCAGGGACGAAUAAAUGACGGUACCUGACUAAGAAGCCCCGGCUAACUACGUGCCAGCAGCCGCGGUAAUACGUAGGGGGCAAGCGUUAUCCGGAUUUACUGGGUGUAAAGGGAGCGUAGACGGUGAUGUAAGUCAGAUGUGAAAGCCCGGGGCUCAACCCCGGGACUGCAUUUGAAACUAUGUUGCUGGAGUGCAGGAGAGGUAAGUGGAAUUCCUAGUGUAGCGGUGAAAUGCGUAGAUAUUAGGAGGAACACCAGUGGCGAAGGCGGCUUACUGGACUGUAACUGACGUUGAGGCUCGAAAGCGUGGGGAGCAAAC